rnacentral:lncRNA from 1 species
AUUUCUACAGUAACCUGACUCCACCCAUAUUUCUACGACGGUCGACCACCUCUUUGAUUUCAUCCGAGCUCCUACGGGAGCCGGACCUCUGCCCCGAAUUCCUAUUGCAGGUAGACUUCAUCCGAGCCCCUGCUACAAACGGUCUACUCCAAACUCCUACUACAAAUGGUCUACUCUGAGCUUCUAUUACAAACGACCUACUCCAAAUUUCUGCUACGAGCGGUCCACGUC